GACGAACGCUGGCGGCGUGCUUAACACAUGCAAGUCGAACGGUGAAGCGCUUUCCUUUUUGGCGGGUGUGGAUGAGUGGCGAACGGGUGAGUAACACGUGAGUAACCUGCCUUUUUCUUCUGGAUAACCGCAUGAAAGUGUGGCUAAUACGGGAUAUUCUGGGCCUGUCGCAUCAUGGGUUGGGGAAAGAUAUUGUGUCGGUGGGGGAUGGGCUCGUGGCCUAUCAGCUUGUUGGUGGGGUGAUGGCCUACUAAGGCGGCGAUGGGUGGCUGGCGUGAGGGGAGGGUGAGCGGUCACACAGGGACGAAAACGCGGCCCAGACUCCGAGAGGAGGCAGCGGGGGAGAUUGGAGAACGGUGGGAGCAAGGCUGAAGCAGCAACGCCUCGUGGGAGAUGGAGUCCGGCGGGUUGUGAACCUCUUUCGGGAGAGAAGCAGGCCUGCCUCGUUUGUGGGUGGGUUGACGGUAGCUGGAUAAGAAGCGCCGGCUAACUACGUG
rnacentral:rRNA from 1 species